rnacentral:rRNA from 1 species
GACGAACGCUGGCGGCGUGCCUAAUACAUGCAAGUAGAACGCUGAAGGAGGAGCUUGCUCUUCUGGAUGAGUUGCGAACGGGUGAGUAACGCGUAGGUAACCUGCCUGGUAGCGGGGGAUAACUAUUGGAAACGAUAGCUAAUACCGCAUAACAGUAGAUGUUGCAUGACAUUUACUUAAAAGGUGCAAUUGCAUCACUACCAGAUGGACCUGCGUUGUAUUAGCUAGUUGGUGGGGUAACGGCUCACCAAGGCGACGAUACAUAGCCGACCUGAGAGGGGGGACGGCCACCCUGGGACUGAGACACGGCCCAGACGCCUCCGGGAGGCAGCAGUAGGGUGUCUUCGGCGAUGGACUGAAGUCUGACCGGGCAACGCCGCGUGAGUGAAGAAGGUUUUCGGAUCGUAAAGCUCUGUUGUAAGAUAAGAACGAGUGUGAGAGUGGAAAGUUCACACUGUGACGGUAUCUUACCAGAAAGGGACGGCUAACUACGUG